UACGAGGGGGGCGAGCGUUGUUCGGAAUUAUUGGGCGUAAAGGGUGCGUAGGCGGUUCCGCAAGUCCUGUGUGAAAUCUUCGGGCUCAACUCGAAGUCUGCACGGGAAACUGCGGGGCUUGAGUGUGGGAGAGGUGAGUGGAAUUCCGGUGUAGCGGUGAAAUGCGUAGAUAUCGGGAGGAACACCUGUGGCGAAAGCGGCUCACUGGACCGCAACUGACGCUGAGGCGCGAAAGCUAGGGGAGCAAACA
rnacentral:rRNA from 1 species